UUGAAAUGUUGAACGCACAUGAUGACAUCGGUCCUUUCGGAUUAGGUGUUAUACUUGGGUGAGAGUGGUCCUGAU
rnacentral:rRNA from 1 species